CAAGAAUACUGUAAUUUCUCAUAAGUAACAUUUGUUGCAUCACUUGAACUUAGGAACAAAACAAGAGAAGUAUGCACAAAGGUUGACAUUUGGGAGCAAAAAAUGGGGAAAGAGCUGGUGCCAAGCUCUGUCACAUGCACUGGGACUGACUCUCUUCUGGUCCUGCAGGCUGAUUACCUGUCAGUGGUUGGAGCACAUCAGAACUCCAAAGCUCCAGUUUUGAUGGUAUUUUCUAUACCAUCUUUAUCAUGCGGUUGACUGAGCCCUACCGAGUACCAAAGGCACAUGACUCUCCAUGUGAGAUUUGGGACUGUACAUCUGAG